rnacentral:rRNA from 1 species
CAGCAGCCGCGGGAAUACGUAGGUCCCGAGCGUUGUCCGGAUUUAUUGGGAGUAAAGCGAGCGCAGGCGGUUAGAUAAGUCUGAAGUUAAAGGCUGUGGCUUAACCAUAGUACGCUUUGGAAACUGUUUAACUUGAGUGCAAGAGGGGAGAGUGGAAUUCCAUGUGUAGCGGUGAAAUGCGUAGAUAUAUGGAGGAACACCGGUGGCGAAAGCGGCUCUCUGGCUUGUAACUGACGCUGAGGCUCGAAAGCGUGGGGAGCAAACAGGAUUAGAUACCCGCGUAGUACCUGUCUCUUAUACA